CGUGUUCUAUAAAGGAAGAGGAUAUGUGUGCUUUUGACCAAGGAAUCUUUUGCUUCUGGAAAAUAACCACUUUCUUGAGACCAUCAUGUAGCACCUGGGCUUCCUCCUGUGUCAUUGGCCACUUCCUGGAGUCCCUUCCCAGUUUUCUCUUGUUUCCCCAACCUCUAAAAACUGAGUGCCCCUAGUCUCAUGUCCAGCAUCUGCUCCUUUCUGCAGCAUCAACUCCCUAGACAGCCUCAUCUUGUCUCAUGGCUCUAAAUCUCUCCGCGUAGACAGCCCGGACCUCUCCUCUGGAUUUCCAGGUCUACUACAUCUGCCAGCUCUAUCUGUCCUUGUGGGUGCUUAGUAAGGCAGCUCUCCUUACACCCCAAAACUGACCCCAAUCCUAUCCCAAACCUGCUUUCCUACAACCUGCCCUACUUCAGUGUCCGCUCCAUCCUUCCAGUUAGACAGACACCUAAGGUCAUUAGGUCAUCCUAGACUCCUCACUCGCUUUUCAUCCAGAGCUCAGCAAAUCCUGUCAGUCCCAUCUUCCAAAAUAUAUUCAGAAGCCAACCACUUUUUUGCUUUUUGACCGCGCCACGUGGUUUGUGGGAUCUUAGUUCCCCGACAAGGGAUCAAACCUGGGCCCUCAACAGUGAGAGCAUGGAGUCCUAACCACGGGACCACCAGGAAAGUCCCCAGAAGCCAAGCACUUCUUACUGUCUCUACUACCUUCCUGGUCCAAACCAUAAUUACCACUCACUGGAUUUCUGCCAGCUCCUCCCAACCUGUGUCCUGCUUCCACCCUUUUCAAUCCCACUCUGUCUCAGUGUUACUCAUCUGCUCAAAGCCCCUCCAGUGGCUUCCCCUCUCAUUCAGAGUAAAACCCAGACUCCCUAAAAUUCCUGCCAUGCCCUCCACCAUCUACCCCACCCCCAUUACCUGUCCAACUUCCAUUAUUCUCCCCCUUGACCCCUCUGCCACACUGACCUCCUUGUUCCUUUAAUACACCAAACACAUCCCUGCCUCAGGACCUUUGCAUUUGCUGUUACCGCUUCUGAAAUGUUUUUCCCCUAAAUAUCUAUUAAGAUAGUUGCCUCAGCUCUUUCAGGUGUAGGCUCAGUGACAACAUCUCAGUGGAGCCUUCCCUGACCACCCAACUUAAAAUCCAACCCCACCUCCACCCUGAUCCUCUGUUCAAUAUUUUACUUGCUUGCUGACUGCCUCUUCCCACUAGAAUGUAAGCUACUCAAAGGUGGAAUUUCAGUUUUAUCUGCUGUGUUACCAGCACCUAAAACAGUGUGAGACACAUAGCAAGCACUCAACAGCUAGUUUUGAGUGAAUGUAAAAUGAGGAAGGACACACUAUUUCAUCCACCUCGUGGUAUGCUCAAAGACAACAUGGAUGUAAUGGAACUAUUUAAGCACUUUUCUAUGUGCAGGCACUGUUCUAAGAACUUCAUGCAUAUUACCUCAUUAGUUGCAUACGACAGCUUUACAUGUAUUAACUAAUUUAACUCUCCCAAUAACCCUACCAGAGAAGUAUUGAUACUGUUAUUACCUCUAUUUAAGAAAUGAGGGAGAAAACCACUGAGUAAGUAACUUGCCCAAGGUCACAAAGCUACUAAGUGAUGGAGCCAAGAUUUUGACAGGCAGUUCUGGCCCCAGGGCCUAGACCUUAAAGUGUGUCACAGCUUAAAUGUCACACAUGUAAAAUUAUUUCCUGGAACUUUUUUUGAAGAACAGCAUUCGAUUCGUAAGAGCAUCUUGUAUUGUAAAGCCAUUAUUUUGGUUUCGGUGUUACAUCUGGGUUCGACUGUCUUCAUUUCUACCAGGGUAAGGAGCUCUUUACCUUGGAACAAAAUCAGUAUUUUCCUCUACUGAAAGGAGGGGGCGGGGAAUAACGGUCAAAACUCUGAAAACAGAACCAAAGGUUCAGUGAGUCUCUUUUACAGAAAACACCAUCUCUGCCAUAGAAUGUGGUUGCGAGUGACUUAGAUAACAACCAUCGUUCCUGGAGCAUUUAAUGGACACUUUGACAUCAUGUUAUUUCAUCACAACUCACAAAAACACAACCAAAUAGAUGCUACUGUUGCCAUGUUUCAGCGUCCUUAUAAGAAGAGGAAAAGACACCAGGCCACGUGAGGACACAGAGAGAAGGCGUUCCUCUGCAGGACAAACCAGCCCUGCCGGCACCUUGAUCUUGGACUUCCAGCCUCCAGAACUAAAUUCUGAUGAUAAAGGAGAGCGGACACUCCAAAGUCAUCCCAAAAAAACUGCUGCUUUGGGAAGAUUUGCCAGGUUUGUGCUGUGGCUUUUUGUAGUCUUAACCACUGGACACCAGGGAAGUCCCAGGAACAACUUCUUUUAACAGAAGAGGCAACUACUUCUUUAGAGAAUAAAGAAUUGGCCUUAUGAGAACUAUUUUUCUGCCAAGACAUUUGAGACAUGUUGACAAGGUAAUUUCUUUAUAGUGUCCUGGAUUUCCACAAAUUUCCUGUUGUGAACUUCCGUAAUUAGAAAGAGUGCUUCACUCAGGGAGGCACAAAUGGUGAUGUAUAACAAAUAUUCAGUAAACCUGUUUUUUUUAAUAGACUUCCUGUGACACAUGUAAUUGAUUAACUGCAUAUUAACAGGUCAGCUUCAAAAUAUGACUUGAUUUUCUUUUUUUUGUUUGUGGCCGUGCAGCAUGUGGGAUCCUAGUUCCUUGACCAGGGAUCAAACCUAUGCUCCCUGCAGUGGAAGUGCAGAGUCUUAACCACUGGUCCACCAGGGAAGUUCCUUGACUUGUUGAUUUUUAAAUGUUUAAAUUUUUACAUAUAGUAGAAUUCACUUUUCUGGUUGUAUUGUUCCAUGAAUUUUAACACAUGCAUAAAUUCCUGUGAUAAUCACAACAAAUGAGAAAAAGAACAAUUCCAACACCUCCAAAAAAUUCUCUUGUGCUGCCCUUCUGUAGGCAAACCCAACUUGACACCUAACUCCCGGCAACCACUGAUGUAUUCUCUGUGGCUAUAGUUUUGUCAUUUCUAGAAUGUCACGUAAAUGGAUUCAUACGGUAUACAAUCUUUAAAGACUCUUCUUUUGCUUAGCAUGACGCAUCUGGGAUUGAUACUUGCUGUUGCAUGAAUCAAUAAUUUGUUCCUUUUUAUUACUGAAUAGCGUUCCACUGCAAGAAUGUAUCACAGUUUAUUUAUCCAUUAACCCAUUGAAGGACAUCUGAGUUCUUUCCAGUGUUUUUUGAUUAUGAAUAAAGCAUCUGUAAACACUUGUUUGGAGGUUUUUGCAUGAUUUUAAGUUUUACUUCUCUGUGGUAAAGACCUAGAAGUGGGGUUGCUGGGUCAUUUGGUAGAUGUGUGUUUAUAAGAAAUUUGCCCGUCUGUUUUCCGGAGUGGCCGUAUCAUUUUGCAUUCCUACCAGCAAUGAAAGAGAAGUCCAGUUGCUCAGCAUUCUUGUCAGCACUUGGUAUUUUAUUUUAGCUGUUCUAAUAUGUGUAUUUCGUGGUGGUUUUAAUUUGCACUUCCCUAAUAACUACUGAUGUUGAGGAUCUUUUUAUGUGUUUAUUUGCCAUCUGUAUAUCGUUGUGAUGGUUAAUUUUAUGUAUCAACUUGAAGGGUCCAUAAUAUUUGGUCAAAUAGUAUUCUGGGUGUUCCUGCGAGGAUGUUUUUGGAUGAGAUUAAUGUUAAAGCAGUAGUGUAAGGAACACAGAUUGCCCUCUCUAAUGUAGGUGGGCCUCACCCAACUAGCUGAAGUUCUAAACAGAACAAAAAAGCUGACCUUCCCCUGAGUAAGAUAAUGUCUCUGGUUUGACUGCCUUUGAAGUGGGACAUUGACUUUUUCCUACCUUCAGACUCGAACUGAAACUCAUGCUCUUCCUGGGUCUUGAGGCUGCCAGCCAUCAGACUGGAUCUACACCAGCAGUUUUCCUGGUUCUCAGACCUGCAGCCAUCAGACUGG